GGUCGCAUUACAGGCUUUGUGGCAACCACGGGUUAGAACGCACACACACACACACACUAUAUAUAUAUGUAUGUAUGUAUGUAUGUAUGAUUGGUGUCGACUGGGUCCUCUUUUGAUCAAAUGGGUUUCAGAAGUCAACAUGCAGAUAUGAAUCACAAUUCACGAAGAGUUUUUAAAUUUUAAAUAUUACUAAUACUACAACCAGGAAAGGUCUAGGGGUAGAUUUUGUGUUUUCUUACCUACCGGAGCAUUUGCCAAUUUAGAUCUGUGCAGCAGAUUUUCGACGUGAUCGGAAUGGAAGCUGGUGCUUCGUUUCGAAGCGGUUGAAGUUCGUUCCUUCAUCGCAUGCACCGUAAAGUGUGUCUGUGUUAAAGAAGUCUGCGUCGAGCCCAGCUGGGUACAUCAAGGAGUACAAGAUUGUCCUGAAUUCUAUGUCAUUUAGCAGCGAACUGCCUCAUCUCUCAUCCGAUUACGUCAACAAUCCGGAUACGAAGACACCGAUUUUCCUUCAAGUAUGUCACGCAGAACUGAUUGCUAGUGCUGAUCAACGAAGUUGGACUGAAUAUCCUGACAGAUCCUUAGGGUUUACUUGAAAACAAGGAAAGAGGCUGUGUUGCUUGUAUCUAUGUGGUUAUGUACAUCCUGUGAUUAUGUACAUACAAAGACAACAAGUAUACCAGCGCUGAGUUACUUUUCACAGCCACGGUCGAAGGUACCUACUGAACUUGUGUGACAUGAAUGUUCACCACCUGGUUUGAUUCAUUUACGAAGCGCAUGCCGCCCACUUCAAGGCGUUGAAUCGUUAUCACGACUGUGAUUAAUCUUCGUCUUAAUGGUAUCUGUAACAGGUGGGCAUAGUGGUUUCAGCCACCUUAAUUGCCUAGAUUUCUACGUUGAAACCCGCUAGAACUGUCCAACCCCACAUGCGAGAGUUGGUGGAACUCCCUAAAUCAUUCAAAGCUUUGCAUACGCAAACCCUUUUGCAUAAUCACAAAAUACGAGCCCGUUCUCGCUGAGUACAAUCACACUCUAACAUUCACAGACCUUUUCCUUGGGAAUGUUACAACUGCUAACGAAGUGACAAGAAAUCUCCGUCAUCGUCAGAGCAUGGCAUUUUCAAUUCCUUCCCUUGCGCAAGCUAGUUCCAGUAUGGUUUGCGAUGGAAUGAUUCUCAACACUGCAAACUCAUCACGAUUCCGGUAAAAGUUCCAUCGCUAAGAAUCGGAUCCUUUGACCUUUCUCAAACGACAUUGCAGUUUGACCGUCUGUUGAUGCCACAUGUGGGAUUGUGUCCGCACUGACAGCUUUCCUACGUUUCGGCGGCGCCUCGAGCAUGGAUAUCGCGAAGUUGUAGACCACUCUGGUGCAAUAUUCCUGGAAUCCACUUUAUGCUCUCGUACUCCACACAUUUGAAUCGGUCGAGAGAGUCGAGCAGCAAUAGCAGUAGUAUCUAAGAGCAGAAAAUACCGCUUUCGAACCUUCUGUCUCCACACCGAGGUGUUUGGUUCAAAACUUCGUCAAUGUCUGAAACUGAAACUUUCAACACCUAAAUUU